ACUUCUCUCCGAGCAAAAGCAUCUAAGGAUCCGUCUAUGAUGCUGCGCCUGGAAUCGAGAGAUCCCACAGGGUGACCGUGGAAACGCGGCUGCCUCCCAUUUUUGAAAAGGAGAACGA
rnacentral:ncRNA from 1 species